GCUAUACAUGCAAGUCGAACGAACUCUGGUUAAUGAUUGAAGGUGCUUGCACCUGAUUGAUUUAACAUUUGAGUGAGUGGCGAACUGGUGAGUAACACGUAGGAAACCUGCCCAGAAGCGGGGGAUAACACCUGGAAACAGAUGCUAAUACCGCAUAACAACUCGGACCGCAUGGUCUGAGCUUGAAAGAUGGCUUCGGCUAUCACUUUUGGAUGGCCCUGCGGCGUAUUAGCUAGAUGGUGAGGUAAAGGCUCACCAUGGCAAUGAUACGUAGCCGACCUGAGAGGGUAAUCGGCCACAUUGGGACUGAGACACGGCCCAAACUCCUACGGGAGGCAGCAGUAGGGAAUCUUCCACAAUGGACGAAAGUCUGAUGGAGCAACGCCGCGUGAGUGAAGAAGGGUUUCGGCUCGUAAAACUCUGUUGUUAGAGAAGAACAUAUCUGAGAGUAACUGUUCAGGUAUUGACGGUAUCUAACCAGAAAGCCACGGCUAACUACGUGCCAGCAGCCGCGGUAAUACGUAGGUGGCAAGCGUUGUCCGGAUUUAUUGGGCGUAAAGCGAGCGCAGGCGGUUUUUUAAGUCUGAUGUGAAAGCCUUCGGCUUAACCGGAGAAGUGCAUCGGAAACUGGGAAACUUGAGUGCAGAAGAGGACAGUGGAACUCCAUGUGUAGCGGUGAAAUGCGUAGAUAUAUGGAAGACACCAGUGGCGAA
rnacentral:rRNA from 1 species